UAGGGAAUCUUCCGCAAUGGACGAAAGUCUGACGGAGCAACGCCGCGUGAGUGAAGAAGGAUUUCGGUUCGUAAAACUCUGUUGUUAGGGAAGAAAAAAUGUAUAGUAACUAUAUACAAAAGAGACGGUACCUAACCAGAAAGCCACGGCUAACUACGUGCCAGCAGCCGCGGUAAUACGUAGGUGGCAAGCGUUGUCCGGAAUUAUUGGGCGUAAAGCGCGCGCAGGUGGUUUAGAAAGUCUGAUGUGAAAGCCCACGGCUCAACCGUGGAGGGUCAUUGGAAACUAAUAAACUUGAGUGCAGGAGAGAAAAGUGGAAUUCCUAGUGUAGCGGUGAAAUACGUAGAGAUUAGGAGGAACACCGGUGGCGAAAGCGGCUUUUUGGCCUGCAACUGACACUGAGGCGCGAAAGCGUGGGGAGCAAACAGG
rnacentral:rRNA from 1 species